rnacentral:lncRNA from 1 species
UUUUUUUAUUCUUCCUGGAGUUGUCUUAUUUAUUCCUUCCAGAAAUUCUGGCCUUUGGUUCUUAGCAAGCCCUGCCCUUCGCACUGGCUCCACAUGACUUGCGACCUGGACAUUGGCUUGGGACUGUUCUCACCUUUUCUGGGCAGUAACUGUAUCUCCCCACCACCUCUCCCAAAGGGAAGCUUGGUUUCUUCCAGUCACUAUUUUUCACUUCCUUGUGAUUAAGUUUUGGAAUAUAGGUUAGGUCCAGAGCCGAUGACCAAGAAAUAAUUUUUGAGACGUCUUUGGUGCAAAAUGGUGGUUUUAUUAAAGCCUGGGGACAGGACUCAUGGGCAGGAAAAGCUGCUGCCCCGGGCCUGUGAAGGGUAGCUCCCAACCUGGGAGUUAGGAGGGGUUUGAAGAUAGCCUACUCUCUAAGGAAUUAAGGAAGCAAGGUUUCCAGAACCUUGAGGGGGCUAGUUAUUGUUGGGAAGGGUCACUUUUUCUUUUUCUUUUUUUUAAAUUCAUGAGAGACACAGAGAGAGAAAGAGACAGAGACACAGGCAGAGGGAGAAGCACGCUCCCUGCAAGGAGCCUGAUGUGGGACUCAUACCGGAUCCUGGGAUCACACCCCAAGCCUAAGACAGACACUCAACUGCUAAGCCAUCCAGGCGUCCCAUGGGAAAAGGUCACUUACUACUGUCUAAUAAAACCUGAGUCAUGAGACCCUUCAGAUGUACACUGGUGGGCCGUGUCCUUGGAGGAUGAUUGGCAACAUGAUUGGCAACACGUAUCUUGGGGGUUUAGAGAUAAAGGGAAAUUUCUAAAGGACCUUUUAUAUGUUAAAGUAGACUUACAGGAUCCUGGGUGUCGGGCUAAGAUUGCCUUUUGUCCUUAGCAAAGUAUGAACAUCGGGGCAGUUGAGUCCAUAGAGGAAUGUCCCUUUGCCUGUUUCAAGGACUUGUCAAUGUGCUGUCCCAGGCUCGUGCCUUGUCCUCAGCUAGCCCUGUGUUCCCCCAUCACUUGGAUGGCAUUAUCACUCUCCCUAUACCGUUACUGCUUCUCCAGAUACUUUUUUGUCCUCAAAAUCUUCCUCUUGGCCUCCAUAUCCGUCAGAAGCAUUCCUAGGGUAUUUGCCCUUUGGCUUUUAUGUUUGCCCUUUUUCCCCCGUUAAAAAACUUUAUUUUGUAUGGACACUUAAAUUCUAAGAUGGCUGCACCUCGUGUGUUUUCCAAAUCUUUCUUCGUGUAAAGUGGAUUUUUCUCGCCAGCCCGCUGAGGUAGACGUAUCCUACUCCAUGUUUGCCUUGUGUAAGUAGGUUCAAACUUUUGAAAAUCAGUGCAGUUUGUAGCGCAGGAUUUAAGGUGUGAGACAUGGGAGUGUUUUCGGUAGGUUUUCAUUGUUUCGAGCCUUACCUGGCUACUCUGGCCAAAACGACCACUUCGCCUUCCGUAGGUCGAUUACCGAAGGGCAGCCGCCUGGCAGACCC